rnacentral:rRNA from 1 species
CAUGCAAGUCGAGCGAAGCUUUUCAGUAGUUUACUACAGAAAAUGACUGAGCGGCGAACGGGUGAGUAACGCGUGAGCAAUCUACCUUAGUUACAGGGAUAGCCCGAGGAAACUCGGAUUAAUACCUGAUAUUCUUUAUAUUUCGCAUGAAAUUAAAAGGAAAGGUCAGCCGAACUAAGAUGAGCUCGCGUUCUAUCAGCUAGUUGGUGAGGUAAAAGCUCACCAAGGCUACGACGGAUAGCUGGUCUGAGAGGACGAUCAGCCACACUGGGACUGAGACACGGCCCAGACUCCUACGGGAGGCUGCAGCAGGGAAUAUUGCGCAAUGAGCGAAAGCUUGACGCAGCGACACCGCGUGUGGGAUGACGGAUCUAGGUUUGUAAACCACUUUCAGGAGGGAAGAAAAUGACGGUACCUCCACAAGAAGCCCCGGCCAACUACGUGCCAGCAGCCGCGGUAAUACGUAGGGGGCGAGCGUNGUCCGGAUUUAUUGGGCGUAAAGAGCUCGUAGGCGGUUCAACAAGUCGGUCGUGAAAGUUCAGGGCUCAACCCUGAAAUGUCGAUCGAUACUGUUGUGACUA